rnacentral:rRNA from 1 species
UACAGGGGGUGCAAACGUUGCUCGGAAUUAUUGGGCGUAAAGCGCGCGUAGGCGGCUACCUAAGUCGGCUGUGAAAGCCCCUGGCUUAACUGGGGAAGUGCACCCGAAACUGAGUAGCUAGAGUGCGAAAGAGGGUCGCGGAAUUCCCGGUGUAGAGGUGAAAUUCGUAGAUAUCGGGAGGAACACCGGUGGCGAAGGCGGCGACCUGGGUCGACACUGACGCUGAGGCGCGAAAGCGUGGGGAGCAAACAGG